rnacentral:rRNA from 1 species
CAGGACGAACGCUGGCGGCGUGCUUCAUACAUGCAAGUCGAACGAGAAUUCACCUUCGGGUGGAGGAAAGUGGCGGACGGGUGAGUAAAAUGUAGAGAAUCUACCCUAGAGCGGGGGACAACAGUUGGAAACGACUGCUAAUACCCCAUAUGCGCGUACUUGAGAUAGUAUUCGUGAAAACUCCGGUGCUCUGGGAUGAGUCUGCAUCUGAUUAGCUAGUUGGUAGUGUAAUGGACUACCAAGGCGACGAUCAGUAGCUGGUUUGAGAGGAUGAUCAGCCACAAUGGGACUGAGACACGGCCCAUACUCCUACGGGAGGCAGCAGUAGGGAAUUUUGCGCAAUGGGGGAAACCCUGACGCAGCAACGCCGCGUGAACGAAUAAGCCCUUCGGGGUGUAAAGUUCUGUCAGUGGGGACGAAACUUGACGGUACCCACAGAGGAAGCAUCGGCUAACUCCGUGCCAGCCGCCGC